CUCUGCUACGCGGAGGGACAUUACCGAGUUUACAACUCCCAAACCCAAUGUGAACGUUACCAAACUGUUGCCUCGGCGGGGUCACGCCCCGGGUGCGUAAAAGCCCCGGAACCAGGCGCCCGCCGGAGGAACCAACCAAACUCUUUCUGUAGUCCCCUCGCGGACGUAUUUCUUACAGCUCUGAGCAAAAAUUCAAAAUGAAUCAAAACUUUCAACAACGGAUCUCUUGGUUCUGGCAUCGAUGAAGAACGCAGCGAAAUGCGAUAAGUAAUGUGAAUUGCAGAAUUCAGUGAAUCAUCGAAUCUUUGAACGCACAUUGCGCCCGCCAGUAUUCUGGCGGGCAUGCCUGUCCGAGCGUCAUUUCAACCCUCGAACCCCUCCGGGGGAUCGGCGUUGGGGAUCGGGACCCCUCACCGGGUGCCGGCCCUGAAAUACAGUGGCGGUCUCGCCGCAGCCUCUCCUGCGCAGUAGUUUGCACAACUCGCACCGGGAGCGCGGCGCGUCCACGUCCGUAAAACACCCAACUUCUGAAAUGUUGACCUCGGAUCAGGUAGGAAUACCCGCUGAACUUAAGCAUAUCA
rnacentral:rRNA from 1 species